ACGUCUGAAACAGCAGACGUCGGGUUUGGCGACCUGAACAAACCAAAGCGCACACGCCGCGCCAAGCGGCUUUUUU
rfam:Burkholderia vietnamiensis G4 plasmid pBVIE02, complete sequence.